rnacentral:sRNA from 1 species
AGUUGUCUUGGAGGGGAGUACCCCAGUCUUUUGGCAUUGAUCGUCAACACGGUGGUUGCGUUGUGAGUGACCCCCGGUCAUGCCAGCCCGUUUCUUCGCGCAACGGGCGGGGGAGACCUCCGGUCAUUUC